AGUGAACGCUGGCGGUAGGCCUAACACAUGCAAGUCGAACGGCAGCACAGUAAGAGCUUGCUCUUACGGGUGGCGAGUGGCGGACGGGUGAGGAAUACAUCGGAAUCUACUUUUUCGUGGGGGACAACGUAGGGAAACUUACGCUAAUACCGCAUACGACCUACGGGUGAAAGCAGGGGAUCUUCGGACCUUGCGCGAUUGAAUGAGCCGAUGUCGGAUUAGCUAGUUGGCGGGGUAAAGGCCCACCAAGGCGACGAUCCGUAGCUGGUCUGAGAGGAUGAUCAGCCACACUAGAACUGAGACACGGUCCAGACUCCUACGGGAGGCAGCAGUGGGGAAUAUUGGACAAUGGGCGCAAGCCUGAUCCAGCUAUACCGCGUGGGUGAAGAAGGCCUUCGGGUUGUAAAGCCCUUUUGUUGGGAAAGAAAAGCAGCAGGUUAAUACCCCGCUGUUCUGACGGUACCCAAAGAAUAAGCACCGGCUAACUUCGUG
rnacentral:rRNA from 1 species